rnacentral:rRNA from 1 species
UCCCUUGGAACAGGGUAUCAAAGAGGGUGACAAUCCCGUACUUGACGCGACCGCCGGUGCUAUGUGAUGCGUCUUCGACGAGUCGAGUUGUUUGGGAAUGCAGCUCAAAACGGGUGGUAAAUUCCAUCUAAGGCUAAAUAUUGGCGAGAGACCGAUAGCGAACAAGUACCGUGAGGGAAAGAUGAAAAGCACUUUGGAAAGAGAGUUAAACAGUACGUGAAAUUGUUGAAAGGGAAACGAUUGAAGUCAGUCGUGUCCGGGGGGUUCAGCCGGUUCUGCCGGUGUAUUCCUCUCGGACGGGUCAACAUCGGUUUUGACCGGCGGAAAAGG